rnacentral:tRNA from 1 species
GUCAUUGUAGCUUAUGUAAAGUGUAGUAGUGAAGUUACUGAGAGAUUGUGACAGUGAUU